GUGGGGGAGGGGCGGUGCGUGUGGGUAUCGGCAUCUACAGCAUAACGGGGGGUUAAAAGCCAUGUGACAGUCAGGGGAUGUGGGGCUGGAGACAGAAAAGGGGAUGUGGGGCAGCAGCCAUAGGGAAGGGGAUACGGGGGAGGAGAUAUAAGGAUGGGGAUGUAGGGCAGGGGACGUAGGGAAGGGGAUAUGGUGCAAGGAAGUGGGGCUGGAGCCAUAGAAGAGGGGAUAUGGGGCUGGGGAUUUGGGGCUGGAGACGUAGGGAAGGGGACAUGGGGGAGGGGGCUGGAGACACAGGGCAGCAGCCAUAGGGAAGGGAAUAUGGGGCAGGGAAUGUGGGCCCGGGGAUAUAAGGAUGGGGUUGUAGGGCAGGGGACAUAGGGAAAGGGAUAUGGGGCAAGGAAGUGGGGCUGGAGCCAUAGAAGAGGGGUUAUGGGACUGGGGACUUUGGGCUAGAGACAUAGGGAAGGGGACAUGGGGCAGGAGAUGUGGGGCUGGAGAAAGGGAAGAGGAUAUGGGGCAAGACACAUGGGGGAGGGGGCUGGAGAUAUAGGACAGGAGACACGGGGAAGGGUACGUGGGGAAGAGGACACUGGCGGGGGAUAUGGGGAAGGGAACAUGGGGCAGGGGACACGGGACUGGAGACAGCAGCAGACAUAGGGAAGGGGAUAUGGGGAAGUGAACGUGGGCAGGGAUGAGGACGUGGGGAAGAGGACACUGCAGGGGACAUGGGGAAGGGGAUGUGGGACACAGGGCAGCAGACAUAAGGAAGGGGACAGGAAGAAGAGGACAUGGGGAAGAGGACGCUGCAGGUUUGAACCCAACUCUGGGAAGGUUCCCCAAGGAACGGGGAGAUCAGAAACAAACCCAAGGCGGGGAACCGUCUGAGGGGGCCCCCGGAGAAAUGCCUUGAGUGCAAAGCCGGCGUGCUGCGGGAGCAGAGCACGAGAUCCAGCAUCUGCUGGGAGGUGCUGGGGAUUUGGAGAGCCUGAAAGCUCUGUCUGUGUGCUUUGAAGCAGGUCAGCCUCCCGCGGGGAGCAAGGAAGUGCCAGCAGCCCGGCCGGGAGCAGCUCGCAGCCCGCCGGCAGCCGGGGAUGCUCAGCCAGCAGCCUCGUGGUUUGUUCGACCCUUUGCCCACCGAACCGAAGCUGCUAAUUAGCUCUAACAACAGGGACGUCUGUUCCUCUGAAGUCUCCAGCCUGAAAACGCCCCAGACCAAUUUCUCCUAAAUCCUCCUCCCCUCGCACAUCCAUCAGGAAUAACAUCCACUUACCGUGCUCCCUGCCCCCAGGCUGAGUCUGAACCGGUGACCUCGAGGUGAAAGCGCUUGAAAAGCUUUGGCCCUCCCCGCAGCCAGCACGCUCCCAGCGGGAUUUUCAGCAGCACUUACGGGGCAGGGAGAGUUUUAGCAGCCGCCGUACCGCAGCGGCCCCCCGGCCCAGAGCCACGCUGCCCUUUCACACGGGAAUCCCAC
ensembl:lncRNA